GUGUGGGGGGUCUGACCCCUCCCGUGCCGCAGCUAACGCAAUAAGUAUUCCACCUGGGGAGUACGAUCGCAAGAUUGAAACUCAAAGGAAUUGACGGGGGCCCGCACAAGCGGUGGAUUAUGUGGUUUAAUUCGAAGCAACGCGAAGAACCUUACCAGGGCUUGACAUCCUACUAACGAGGUAGAGAUACGUCAGGUGCCCUUCGGGGAAAGUAGAGACAGGUGGUGCAUGGUUGUCGUCAGCUCGUGUCGUGAGAUGUUGGGUUAAGUCCCGCAACGAGCGCAACCCUUAUUGUUAGUUGCUACGCAAGAGCACUCUAGCGAGACUGCCGUUGACAAAACGGAGGAAGGUGGGGACGACGUCAAAUCAUCAUGCCCCUUAUGCCCUGGGCUACACACGUAAUACAAUGGCGGCCAACAGAGGGAAGCAAUACCGCGAGGUGGAGCAAAUCCCCAAAAGCCGUCUCAGUUCGGAUCGCAGGCUGCAACUCGCCUGCGUGAAGUCGGAAUCGCUAGUAAUCGCGGAUCAGCACGCCGCGGUGAAUACGUUCCCGGGCCUUGUACACACCGCCCGUCACACCAUGAGAGUCGGGAACACCCGAAGUCCGUAGCCUAACCGCAAGGAGGGCGCGGCCGAAGGUGGGUUUGAUAAUUAGGGUGAAGUCGUAACAAGGUAGCCG
rnacentral:rRNA from 1 species